rnacentral:rRNA from 1 species
GAUGAACGCUAGCGACAGGCUUAACACAUGCAAGUCGAGGGGCAGCAUAGAAGUAGCAAUACUUUGGUGGCGACCGGCGCACGGGUGAGUAACGCGUAUGCAACCUACCUAUCAGAGGGGAAUAACCCGGCGAAAGUCGGACUAAUACCGCAUAAAACAGGGGCACCGCAUGGUGAUAUUUGUUAAAGAAAUUCGCUGAUAGAUGGGCAUGCGUUCCAUUAGGUAGUUGGUGAGGUAACGGCUCACCAAGCCGACGAUGGAUAGGGGAACUGAGCGGUUGUUCCCCCACACUGGUACUGAGACCCGGACCAGACGCCUACGGGAGGCAGCAGAGAGGAAUAUUGGUCAAUGGGCGGGAGCCUGAACCAGCCAGGUCGCGUGAAGGAAGAAGGAUCUAUGGUUCGUAAACUUCUUUUGCAGGGGAAUAAAGUGCAGGACGUGUCCUGUUUUGUAUGUACCCUGAGAAUAAGGAUCGGCUAACUCCGUGCCAGCCGCCGCCGUAACAC